rnacentral:rRNA from 1 species
AGCAGCCGCGGUAAUUCCAGCUCCAAUAGCGUAUAUUAAAGUUGUUGCAGUUAAAAGCUCGUAGUUGAAUUUCGGGAUCAAUAUGUUGGUCGUGCCUCGGUACGUACUAGCAUAUUGGUUUCUCCUUUCUGAAGAACCAUGAUGUCAUUUAUUUGGUGUCGUGGGGAAUCAGGACUGUUACUUUGAAAAAUUAGAGUGUUUAAAGCAGGCUCACGCUUGAAUACAUUAACAUGGAAUAAUGAAAUAGGACGUUUGAUUCUAUUUUGUGGUUUCUAGGAUCGACGUAAUGAUUAAUAGGGAUAGUUGGGGGCAUUAGUAUUCAAUUGUCAGAGGUGAAAUUCUUGGAUUUAUUGAAGACUAACUACUGCGAAAGCAUUUGCCAAGG